ensembl:rRNA 5S_rRNA 5S ribosomal RNA
GCUUACGGCCACACCGCCUGGUUCACGUCCGAUCUCGUUUGAUCUCGGAAAUUAAGAUAGGUUGGUCCUGGUUAGUACUUGGAUGGGAGACCGCCUGGGAAUACCAGGUGCUGUAAGCU